rnacentral:tRNA from 1 species
ACCGCGAUUAGCUCAGCUGGUAGAGCAUCUGCCCGGUAUGCGAGGGUCGCCGGUUUCGAUUCCGGCUCGCGGCG